CAUACACACACAGAGAGGAAAUAGAUUUUCCAUUUCCUAUUCCUACAAUCUGAACAACUCCAUUUCUCUUAUGUAUAUAUAAAAUAAAAAACUCAAAAGACACUAUAAAUAUUACAGAUGAUCAUGAACACAGGAAAAGGCCGAGUGAAUGGAUGUGGUGGUGUAGGAUAAACAAGUAGAAAAAUGGAAUGAUGCCUCAGGACUUGUGCCUGUGAUGAUAUCAUGUGUCAUCCAAAAGCCAAAUGUCUCUGCUUGUGCAGGAACUCCAAUUCCCUUCCCUUUGUGUGCAUCCAAGUGAUAGCUUGUGUAUCCCUUUAAAGUGAUCCAUGUUGCCAUGUUGGUGGUGGCGAGAUGUAGAUGACAAGAGCAUCUCAGUUAUUAAAGGGACGGCAAAAUUCCACAAGAAAGAGACUGCCAUUUGUUCUGCCACCUCUGAUCUCAUCUUCUUCUUUCUGUGACAGGAGGAGGCCAUUUCCCGCAGGGAAGUGCCGAGGGUGCAUCAAGCAGCUUUUCCUUUAUCGCAAUUCAAUGCCUUUAUGCAGCUGAAGGAGGCCUAAGCCUCAUCGACAAUAUUUCUGCCGAACAUGAACAGUUCCAACCCAGAACCAUCAUCAGAAGAUGUCUUGGAAGAAGCAAGCAGUCAAGCGGCUUCCGAUAUGUGUGGCCAAGAGUCUUCUCCUACUCCGCCGCCCUUCUCUCUCAAUCCCUCCCUCACCAUCAACGCAGGUCCAACAGCACCAUCAGCUGUUCCGUGGUCGAGCACAAGCGAAGGCGGCAGCGCACCGAGUUCACAAAGAGUCUUCUCCUGCGGCUACUGCCGACGCAAGUUCUUCAGCUCCCAAGCCCUCGGUGGCCAUCAGAACGCUCACAAGAGGGAACGAACGCUCGCGAAGAGGGCACUGAGUUCGCAUGCAUUUCUUCCACGCAGUUACGCCAGCAUUGCGUCUUUGCCCCUUCAUGGAUCUGCUCUCCGGUCACUGGAGAUCAAAGCACACUCAUCGGUGCAUCAGAAGUGGAGAGAGAUCCAUCGCAGCAGCAGAAGGUGUGGAAAAAGCUUGCUCGAGCCGAGGCCCGUCUUCCUGGAGGAUGAGGAGACGAAGUUCCGUUGGCCUGGAAGCUUUAGGCCGAUGGCAGGUUCGAGUUCAGAACCGGCGGAGGAUUCAGAUGUGGCAACAGGGGAUCAGCAGCCGGUAGAGGAACCCGAUCUCGCUCUCAGACUCUAAGCGCAUAAGCUGGCAUCUUCUCUCCGAAAGCUUGUGUGUUCUUGAUGUCAUUCAUGAACAAUAAUUCUAUGCUUCUCGGUGUGAUGAUACGUCUCCAGGAGAAAGAAUUUACUUCCGCCGACUAAA